rnacentral:rRNA from 1 species
AACGAACGCUGGCGGCAGGCUUAACACAUGCAAGUCGAGCGCCUCGCAAGGGGAGCGGCAGACGGGUGAGUGACGCGUGGGAACGUACCCUUUACUACGGAAUAGCUCCGGGAAACUGGAACUAAUACCGUAUUUGCCCUUGGGGGGAAAGAUUUAUCGGUAGAGGAGCGGCCCGCGUUGGAUUAGCUAGUGGGUGGAGUAAAGGCUUACCAAGGCGACGAUACAUAGCUGGUCUGAGAGGAUGAGCAGCCACAUUGGGACUGAGACACGGCCCCACCUCCUACGGGAGGCAGCAGUGGGGAAUAUUGGACAAUGGGCGCAAGCGUGAUCCAGCCAUGCCGCGUGAGUGAUGAAGGCCUUAGGGUUGCAAAGCUCUUUCACCGGAGAAGAUAAUGACGGUAUCCGGAGAAGAAGCCCCGGCUAACUUCGUGUCAGCAGCCGCGGUAACAC